UACGUAGGGGGCAAGCGUUGUCCGGAUUUAUUGGGCGUAAAGAGCGUGUAGGCGGCCAGGUAGGUCUGCUGUGAAAGCUCGAGGCUUAACCUCGAGCUGUCGGCGGAAACCAUCUGGCUAGAGUCCGGAAGAGGAGAAUGGAAUUCCCGGUGUAGCGGUGAAAUGCGCAGAUAUCGGGAAGAACACCCGUGGCGAAGGCGACUCUUUGGUCUGUAACUGACGCUGAGGCGCGAAAGCGUGGGGAGCAAACAGG
rnacentral:rRNA from 1 species